rnacentral:rRNA from 1 species
CUUUGUCUGAACAUGGGGGGACCAUCCUCCAAGGCUAAAUACUACUGACUGACCGAUAGUGAACCAGUACCGUGAGGGAAAGGCGAAAAGAACCCCGGAGAGGGGAGUGAAAUAGAACCUGAAACCGUAUGCGUACAAGCAGUGGGAGCCUACUUGUUAGGUGACUGCGUACCUUUUGUAUAAUGGGUCAGCGACUUAUAUUCAGUGGCAAGCUUAACCGUAUAGGGUAGGCGUAGCGAAAGCGAGUCUUAAUAGGGCGUUUAGUCGCUGGGUAUAGACCCGAAACCGGGCGAUCUAUCCAUGAGCAGGUUGAAGGUUAGGUAACACUGACUGGAGGACCGAACCCACUCCCGUUGAAAAGGUAGGGGAUGACUUGUGGAUCGGAGUGAAAGGCUAAUCAAGCUCGGAGAUAGCUGGUUCUCCUCGAAAGCUAUUUAGGUAGCGCCUCAUGUAUCACUCUGGGGGGUAGAGCACUGUUUCGGCUAGGGGGUCAUCCCGACUUACCAAACCGAUGCAAACUCCGAAUACCCAGAAGUGCCGAGCAUGGGAGACACACGGCGGGUGCUAACGUCCGUCGUGAAAAGGGAAACAACCCAGACCGCCAGCUAAGGUCCCAAAGUUGUGGUUAAGUGGUAAACGAUGUGGGAAGGCUUAGACAGCUAGGAGGUUGGCUUAGAAGCAGCCAUCCUUUAAAGAAAGCGUAAUAGCUCACUAGUCGAGUCGGCCUGCGCGGAAGAUGUAACGGGGCUCAAACCACACACCGAAGCUGCGGGUGUCACGUAAGUGACGCGGUAGAGGAGCGUUCUGUAAGCCUGUGAAGGUGAGUUGAGAAGCUUGCUGGAGGUAUCAGAAGUGCGAAUGCUGACAUGAGUAACGACAAUGGGUGUGAAAAACACCCACGCCGAAAGACCAAGGGUUCCUGCGCAACGUUAAUCGACGCAGGGUUAGUCGGUUCCUAAGGCGAGGCUGAAAAGCGUAGUCGAUGGGAAACAGGUUAAUAUUCCUGUACUUCUGGUUACUGCGAUGGAGGGACGGAGAAGGCUAGGCCAGCUUGGCGUUGGUUGUCCAAGUUUAAGGUGGUAGGCUGAAAUCUUAGGUAAAUCCGGGGUUUCAAGGCCGAGAGCUGAUGACGAGUCGUCUUUUAGAUGACGAAGUGGUUGAUGCCAUGCUUCCAAGAAAAGCUUCUAAGCUUCAGGUAACCAGGAACCGUACCCCAAACCGACACAGGUGGUCGGGUAGAGAAUACCAAGGCGCUUGAGAGAACUCGGGUGAAGGAACUAGGCAAAAUGGCACCGUAACUUCGGGAGAAGGUGCGCCGGCUAGGGUGAAGGAUUUACUCCGUAAGCUCUGGCUGGUCGAAGAUACCAGGCCGCUGCGACUGUUUAUUAAAAACACAGCACUCUGCAAACACGAAAGUGGACGUAUAGGGUGUGACGCCUGCCCGGUGCCGGAAGGUUAAUUGAUGGGGUUAGCGCAAGCGAAGCUCUUGAUCGAAGCCCCGGUAAACGGCGGCCGUAACUAUAACGGUCCUAAGGUAGCGAAAUUCCUUGUCGGGUAAGUUCCGACCUGCACGAAUGGCGUAACGAUGGCGGCGCUGUCUCCACCCGAGACUCAGUGAAAUUGAAAUCGCUGUGAAGAUGCAGUGUAUCCGCGGCUAGACGGAAAGACCCCGUGAACCUUUACUGUAGCUUUGCACUGGACUUUGAGCCUGCUUGUGUAGGAUAGGUGGGAGGCUUUGAAGCGUGGACGCCAGUUCGCGUGGAGCCAUCCUUGAAAUACCACCCUGGCAUGCUUGAGGUUCUAACUCUGGUCCGUGAUCCGGAUCGAGGACAGUGUAUGGUGGGCAGUUUGACUGGGGCGGUCUCCUCCUAAAGAGUAACGGAGGAGUACGAAGGUGCGCUCAGACCGGUCGGAAAUCGGUCGCAGAGUAUAAAGGCAAAAGCGCGCUUGACUGCGAGACAGACACGUCGAGCAGGUACGAAAGUAGGUCUUAGUGAUCCGGUGGUUCUGUAUGGAAGGGCCAUCGCUCAACGGAUAAAAGGUACUCCGGGGAUAACAGGCUGAUACCGCCCAAGAGUUCAUAUCGACGGCGGUGUUUGGCACCUCGAUGUCGGCUCAUCACAUCCUGGGGCUGAAGCCGGUCCCAAGGGUAUGGCUGUUCGCCAUUUAAAGUGGUACGCGAGCUGGGUUUAGAACGUCGUGAGACAGUUCGGUCCCUAUCUGCCGUGGACGUUUGAGAUUUGAGAGGGGCUGCUCCUAGUACGAGAGGACCGGAGUGGACGAACCUCUGGUGUUCCGGUUGUCACGCCAGUGGCAUUGCCGGGUAGCUAUGUUCGGAAAAGAUAACCGCUGAAAGCAUCUAAGCGGGAAACUUGCCUCAAGAUGAGAUCUCACUGGGAACUUGAUUCCCCUGAAGGGCCGUCGAAGACUACGACGUUGAUAGGCUGGGUGUGUAAGCGUUGUGAGGCGUUGAGCUAACCAGUACUAAUUGCCCGUGAGGCUUGACCAU